ensembl:snoRNA
GGCCACUCAGCUCCGCUUAAUCACACAGGUCCACUGUGUGCGUGGCUUGUUUUCUGGGAGGCAGAGGAAGGCUCUUCUAAUGCACAACGGACCCUCCCAGGAUGGCCUUUCCAUUCCUAGGAGUAUGACAGCU